UACGUAGGUGGCAAGCGUUAUCCGGAUUUAUUGGGUGUAAAGGGUGAGUAGGCGGGUCUGCAAGUCAGAUGUGAAAUACUGUGGCUCAACCACAGAAUUGCAUUUGAAACUAUGGAUCUUGAGAGUCGGAGAGGUAAUUGGAAUUCCCAGUGUAGCGGUGAAAUGCGUAGAGAUUGGGAGGAACACCAGUGGCGAAGGCGGAUUACUGGACGACAACUGACGCUGAUACACGAAAGCGUGGGGAGCAAACAGGAUUAGAUACCCUGGUAGUCCACGCUGUAAACGAUGAAUGCUAGGUGUGGGGCAGAAAUGUUCCGUGCCGGAGUUAACACAAUAAGCAUUCCACCUGGGGAGUACGGCCGCAAGGUUGAA
rnacentral:rRNA from 1 species